UAUCAAGUCUCUUGUGAAAUCUAAUGGCUUAACCAUUAAACUGCUUGGGAAACUGAUAGUCUAGAGUGAGGGAGAGGCAGAUGGAAUUGGUGGUGUAGGGGUAAAAUCCGUAGAUAUCACCAAGAAUACCCAUUGCGAAGGCGAUCUGCUGGAACUCAACUGACGCUAAGGCGCGAAAGCGUGGGGAGCAAACAGGAUUAGAUACCCUGGUAGUCCACGCCCUAAACGAUGUACACUAGUUGUUGGGAUGCUAGUCAUCUCAGUAAUGCAGCUAACGCAUUAAGUGUACCGCCUGGGGAGUACGGUCGCAAGAUUAAAACUCAAAGGAAUAGACGGGGACCCGCACAAGCGGUGGAGCAUGUGGUUUAAUUCGAAGAUACGCGAAGAACCUUACCUGGGCUUGAUAUCCUAAGAACCUUAUAGAGAUAUGAGGGUGCUAGCUUGCUAGAACUUAGAGACAGGUGCUGCACGGCUGUCGUCAGCUCGUGUCGUGAGAUGUUGGGUUAAGUCCCGCAACGAGCGCAACCCACGUAUUUAGUUGCUAACGGUUCGGCCGAGCACUCUAAAUAGACUGCCUUCGUAAGGAGGAGGAAGGUGUGGACGACGUCAAGUCAUCAUGGCCCUUAUGCCCAGGGCGACACACGUGCUACAAUGGCAUAUACAAUGAGACGCAAUACCGCGAGGUGGAGCAAAUCUAUAAAAUAUGUCCCAGUUCGGAUUGUUCUCUGCAACUCGAGAGCAUGAAGCCGGAAUCGCUAGUAAUCGUAGAUCAGCCAUGCUACGGUGAAUACGUUCCCG
rnacentral:rRNA from 1 species